ACCAGGAUGGCCGAGUGGUUAAGGCGUUGGACUUAAGAUCCAAUGGGCGUAUGCCCGCGUGGGUUCGAACCCCACUCCUGGUA
rnacentral:tRNA from 1 species